CCACCGAGGCCGUGUCUUAUCUAAUGAUCUGCGCGUCCCGUGUCCAAAGCAGGUGCUGCGCUGGGGGUCACCCUAGGUUCAGCUUUCCCUUUGCCUUAGGGGCUCACUCUCUCUGGUAUAUUUGAGAAACAGCGGGGUUGUCUCCUGUCCCCUUCUGAAUGAAGGCCACCUCCCCUCCGAACUGGGGGCGGCUCCUCCACUGAACGCCCUGCCCCCUGCGGCAGGCCUCUGGAGCUGAGAGCGGAGCUUGUCUGCUCCCCAGCGCCCCGGCCCCGCCCUCUGUAACCCCGCCCCCAAUCAGGCUGAGGCUGAUUCACCCUUUCCAGAUCCGCAGGCCUAGAGGCCAUGAAGGAAGCCGCAACCUGUGAGGAAAAAGACUUUAAAAGUAAGAAAUUUGAAGCACAGACAAGUUAAGUUGCUUGCCCAAGAUCGCACAGCGAAUAAAUAGCAGUGUCAGAAUUCGAAGUUAAUUUGACUCCAGAGUCCGUGCUCUUAAGCACUUUGCCUCAGUGAAUUGAAGGAGGCCCGUGUUUCCAUUGCUGCUUUUGGAGCUGGCCCAGAGGCUGUUUGCUAUUGUUGAAGUAAUCCUUGAGGACAGGGACAUCCAACCACUGAAGACAGAGAAGUUCUAGAGAAGGCCUGAGUUCUCCCAGUGUCAGGAAACCAACUUACAACUCUGCAAAUGCCAUGGGGAAGUGAUAGGGAUGCCUGUGAGAUUCUUGAAGGCAGAGACGGUGGUUUACUAAUACCUGCCAAGCCUGCAAUGGAAUAAGUAGGGGCUUGGGAAUUAAAAAGAUUUGAAUUUAAAUCCUGGCUCUUGAACUUUCUGUGUCAUCAUGGGAAGGCUGAAGAACCAAGUGAAGAAACUCAACAGGAACCAGGACGAGGACUAUCAGAGUACCCUGGAAAACAUGAUGUUCUUCCUUUCCAUCAGUUCACACAGGACUCAAAAUCCUAGGACAGAGUCCUGUUGAGUGAAUCAGCACAGGGAGAAGGGAUGGGAUCUGGCAGAAUGAGUUUCCAGAUGGAUUUACCAUUGUAUUGCUCAAAACCCAGGACAGUGCCUGGUUCAGCAUAUGGUGGGUGCUCAAAAAGUAAUUUUUAAUGCACAUUUGUCUUCUAGCACAUGACAGGCACACAAGAAACCUACACAGGAGUGUUAGUUGUCUUCCUUUCCCUUUUGUACCUCUUAGCUAUGUUCAAGUAUACAAUAUACUGUUGUUAACUAUAGUCAUCAUGCUGUACAUUACAUCCCCAGGACUUACUUAUCUUUUCACAGAAGGGAUUAGCAUUUAAAUUGAUGGACUAAGAAAAGCAACUGACCGUCUCCAAUGUGGGUGGGCAUCAUCCAAUCCAUUCAGGGAUUGAAUAGAACAAAAAGGCAGAGGAAGGUUGAAAUUCUCUCUGCCUGACUGAAUGAGCUGGGACAUCAGUCUUCUGCCCUCUUAGCUUUUGGUUCUCAGGCCUUCAGACUUGGACUGGUAGCUACACCAUAGGCUCUCUGGCUGUUAAAACUUUCAAACUACACCAGUGGCUUUCCUUGGUCUCCAGCUUGCAAAGGACAGAUCGUGAGACUUCUCAGGCUCCAUAGUCACAUGAGCCAAUACCAUUAAAUACAUACCUACAUACAAUACAUAGUAACUCACUAACUCAUUCACUCACUAAUGAAUUCACUAACUCAGGGUUCUCUAGAGAAACAACAAAUAGAAUAUGUCUAUCUCAUACAGUAAUACAGUAGUGCUAACUACUGGCAAGAUGCCUCAGUUCCUCAGCAUGUGGGCAUCUUUGUAGGGUUAGGUGAGUAUCUUUAUGACAUGGUACCUGGAAACUCCCAGAGAAAUUGAUCCAAGAGAAGCUGGAAGGGGCAGUAUUUUUUUUUUUUUUUUUGACUUAUCCUCAGAAGUCACACACUAAGACAUCUGCUAUAUUCUUUUGGUUAUAUGGACUAAUCUUGUGCGACUAAUGUGGAAAGGACUCUAUAAAGGAGGCAAGGAUCAUUGGGUCCGUUUUAGAGACUGGGAACUACAACCAGUCACUAGGAAAUGUAAACCAAACUAUAUAAUUUUACUGGGCUCCAGCCAAACUGAUAAAUAUAAACUACUUUUUUUUAAGUAGGCUCCAUGCCUGAUGUGAGGCUGAAACUCACAACCCUGAGAUCAAAGGUUGUAUGCUCUACCAACUGAGCCAGCCAGGUGCCCCAAAUAUUAAAUACUUUUUAAAUGGGGAUUACAUCAACAGCUUUUUAAUGUAACUUCUGAUUAAUGUGUCUGUUUGAAUAUACAUAUAUACACACAUAUAUCUACACACAUACUUUGUAGAAAUAUAUAUACAUAUAUAUCUCAUACUCCUUUGUGGUAUAUAUUAUACUCUAUAAGAAAUGUUAAGUUGCUUAAUCUAAUAUAUUGGAAAUUAAAAUUUUACAUUUUUCUGUCAAUGUACAUGUUCUGAACGUAAAGCCUGAAAAGAGGAGGAUAAAUUAGUUUUGGGAAAGUCACAUUAUCAGUCGAAUCUUCUUACCGCUGUCCAUAGGGGAUGGUGGAGCUCAAGGAAGUUCUGCUAGAAAUGUAGAAGAAGAAAUAUCCAGGUCCCUGAAUGUCCAGGCAUGAGUUUUCUUGAGGUACAAUCUACUUGCCAUCCUUGUUUUAAUAUAUCUUUCACAAGCCCCUUCUAUUAGAAGUUCAAAACAGUUUACCAAGUCAUCAGUAUUUUUUUUCUUGUUUGAAAAGCCAGGGUAUAAGCAUAUCUCCUUUUUGUGUCUUUAAGUGCUUAUGUAAUUGUCUGUUCAUUUUAGACCACUGGUGAGUGCUAGUGUUCCUUUGCAUUCCAGAAAAACAUCUCUUCCAAACUCUGCCAUAAGGAAAAAGUUCUCUUCAGUUAGAAUUUGCAUAUUUUUAAGCAGAGGCUAUUCUGUUCCAAACAUAUGGCUCAUUAUUUAUGACAUUAUGUACCUAUAUCUAUCUGACCAUAUAUACUGGGCUGAGAGGGUAGUAAUCCCUCAGAAGCAGCAGGGAACUUUCUUAAAUGAAAAAAAAUAUUUGUCAAAAGUCUGCAGAAAAUAUCAUGCUUGAUAGUGGCAGCAAACCGAGGUUGGGGCAGUGGAAGUAGUCUGCCCAAAGUGCAAGCAAUAAGGGGGUGUACAACUUUAGAAAAUUUAAAAACAUGGGGCAGCUGCAUGGGGCAGUUGGUUAGGC